rnacentral:piRNA from 1 species
UGGACACACAAUGUGUGGAAGGUUUGAAG